GUCCACGCCUAACGAUGUCAACUAGGUGUUGGAGCGCAAGUUCUCAGUACCGCAGCUAACGCGUGAAGUUGACCGCCUGGGAGUACGGUCGCAAGAUUAAACUCAAGGAAUUGACGGGACCCGCACAAGCGGUGGAUGAUGUGGAUUAAUUCGAUGCAACGCGAACAACCUUACCUACCCUUGACAUGUCUGGGACCCUGCUGAAAGGCGGGUGCCCGAAAGGGACCGACACAGGUGCUGCAUGGCUGUCGU
rnacentral:rRNA from 1 species